rnacentral:lncRNA from 1 species
AAAAAUUUUAGUUUAGUUAGCGCAGAAGGUUAGCUUAUAUAGAUAAACAAUGAAAAAAUGAAACCUGAAUAAGAAGGUUCUGGAGGUCUUAUUGUAUUCUUAAGAGAACUGAGAAUGGCAUUAGGAAGGAUGGUGGAAGGACAUUGUUUAAAAAAAGUUUUCUUCUUUUUUAGUAUUGUUUUUUGUUGGUGGGGAGUAAGGGAAGGGUCCUCCAAAGUAUAUUAGGAAACAAAUGGAAAAUCAGAACCUUGAAAUUUUCUUCUUUUUUUUUAAUUUUUUAUUCAAGACCGACUCUUUGAUAGUUUUGACUAAUUUUGUGCGUUUGUAUGGUAUUUGAAUCUGAAUUGCAGCAAGACGAAGUGCAGAUUGUUAGCUACUCAUGAUGAUUAUAGCAUGAUGGAAAAACUACAGAAGGAGAGGACUUCGGUGGUGACAAUUGUCAGGAAUCCAGUUGACCGGGUUCUUGGUUCAUAUGAAUUUUCAGUUGAGGUAGCAGCUAGAUCUUUGGUACAUCCUGACCUAGCUUCUGCAACCAAAAUGUCCAAACAUGUGCGUGCAAAGACAAAUGGAAUGUCCGCACUGGAUGUUUGGCCGUGGAAGUAUUUGGUUCCAUGGAUGAGGGGAGACCUAUUUAGUCGAGUACGUGUCCUGUUGGCUGAUCUUGUGCUUCUUAAUGAUUAUUUUCUUUUAACUCAAGCGGAGUGAAGAUAAAUAUAAUUAGAUCUUGUGCAUUUUAAUGAUCGUUUUGUACUUUCUUGUUUGGUCGGGGAGCUCUAUUUCUUUCUCGUUUGGUUUUCAUCGAUAGUUGAUUAAUAGGGAAACAACGGAGGUUGCCACUUCUCUGUCUUUAAUUGCAGAGUUCAGGUUUUUAGGCUUGGGAGAAGGGAUAUUGAUUUUGGAGUCUCGACUCCUUAGAGGGUUUCUCUUGUAAGUCUUUUGGCAUUUGCUGGAUCCCUCUCUCGUUUGUAAGUCUGGACAAGUUUUUCUCAGUUGUGUGAAUUGUAUGGACUGAUUUUUGAGGAAGUUAACCUUUGGGUAUCGGUUUUGAAGACCUUUUGUGGUUGCUCUUUAGGCAACAUUGUACACAGUUGGACCCCUUUUCUUUAAUGGGGGGUUUUGUGGGUUUGGUUUUUGAAUUAUUCCAUUUUUUCUCCCUAAAAGUAGUUGUUUCUUUAAAUAUAAAGCUUUGGGGCUGUUUUAGUAUGAAUCAGAUUUCGAUAAGUUAAGCAAGUUGUAUUCGUAGUUUGAAGCCAAACCCGUCUGGAACUUUGUUUUUUGGCUUGCUUUAAUGGAUGAUCUUUUCAUUUCACUUUUUUUCUGGAACAACUGAAGCUAUUUUUCAUUAGCUUGUCAAUAAUGGUUUUCAAGUGCUCAAACUAAUAGGGAAAAUAGUUCCUGCCACAAACUAAUUUGGAGUUGUGCGUAGCUUUGGAUGGAGAUGUUAGAAUCUAACAAGUAAUUUUUGUUUUGGCUCUGUUAGCCUAUGUUUGUGAUCAGGUAAUCUUGACAAUUUCUCUCUUAUUUACUACAAUCUUAUAAAGAGAUUACUGUUUGCCCACUGUAAUGAACAGAGAGAUGUUAGAAGGCAGAAAGGUUCAAGUGAAGCUAAAAGCGACAGUCCAUAUGACAUGGAGGACAUGCUUAUGCCACUAAAGGAGUUUGUUGAUGACCCCAUUGUUCAUGAUCUUGUUCAUAAUGGGGCUACUUUCCAGGUAAUUCCGAAUUAAUUUUUGUAUUGGCGUGAAUAAGACAAACAGUUAACAGUUUUAACUGUUGGUUCUCUACAUGUAAAUAUUUGUUUGUAUUUGAUGGAAUCUCGAGUUUCAUUUCACAUAAACAUUACGUGCAUCCUUUGUUCAAGGGUAGGAGGUGGGGAAGUGAAGUUGCUAAUUCUCCUCUUUGUUGGGCCCAAGGAGUUAAGCUCAUGACUGAAAAACAUUAAUUCCAUGACUUAUUAACUUUUUACAUGUGCACUCCACUCCUUACCCCAAAUGCCCUUAUGUGAUAUGUAAGGUACAACAGUGAUAUAAUUAAACCUUUUUUUUUCUUUUUUUUUUUUUGUAAUUUUCCUAGGAAUGGUUUUGGUUUUCUCAAUAUACUCUAAAUUCAAUGACCUGGAAAGUCGGCCAGUUAAUUUGAUCCUUCAUCUGGUUGAGUGUCUGAUACCAAAUGAAUGCUAUCUUGUGGGGCCUUCAAGUAAACGUAUUUAGUUAUUAUACACUUGUUGAUGUUUUUUGUACUUUUGGACACCAUCAGCUACAUCAAGUUUUUAAAAUUUUACCAAUUCAGAAUUUUGUUUUCUUGGGGGUACCCUGUUGUCAUGCACUUUUUCAUUCUUUUCAAAAUGUGAUUGACUGAUUAAAAGUUCUCAGAUAGCAGGACUGACAAACAACUCCUACCUAGCUGAAGGACAUGAAAUACGUCACUGUGUACAGAAACACAAGAGUCUUGGUCAACAUGUUCUUCAUGUGGCAAAGGUAACAACCGAAGGUUUCUUAAAUUAGAACAGUGGAUAUAUGGACAACUAUCUUUCUGAUACUUGGCCUCCUUAUGGUUGCAAUUAUGGUAGAUGCUUGUAAAUCUUGCAGAAGAGGUUGGAUGCUAUGUUAUAUGUUGGUCUAACUGCGGAACAGAAGGAAUCUGCGACGAUGUUUGCAAAUGUGGUUGGUGCACAGGUGAUUUCACAGCUAAGAGACGCCAAAUUUAGCAUGGACACUUCAGCUGACAAUCAAUCAGGUUUAUGUUUUGUUCUGUAGCUUUUCAUUCAAAGAGGACAACUUUUAAUGUAAUAGAGACUAUGAAUCUUUCAUUAAUGAUUACAUACAAAAGGAGUGGGAGAGCACCUCUAGCAAAGGGAUCAGUAGAAAUUAAAAAAAAAGUAGGUGCACGUAAUCAAGAAAAUCAUCAAUUUGUCUUCAAGAGUAAUUGAAAGCUUUUUUCUCUUCUGUCCAAGACCCCAAAAGAAUAUUUGCUUUGUUGUGCUUUCACAGGUUAUUAAUAAAUGGCCAGCUCCAGUGAAGCUGUAUAGUAAUUAUAUUCUGGAGCUUUGCUGAGACUUGAAAUUUGGAAAUGAAUUUUUGUUAGAUGCGAAUUGUUUAUACCGUUGGAGGGAAUUGAAAUCUUUCGAGAUUCAAAUUUUCCACUUGGGUUCUUAUUUUUUUAAUCCUUUUCCAUUCCUAAAAAAAUAGUUUCCUUUAUUUUUGUUACACUUGUUUUGAUAGUUCCAACAACCAUGUGUAGAUGGAAUUAGCUUUCAAAACCUGUUCUGGCAUCCAUCUUUGUAGUUAUUUCUUAUUUGUAACCUUGGCUUAUUCCUUUUCUGGAUCACGAUGGUCAAGAUCUUUUAUUCAAGAUUACUUUUCUUUCCAAAAAAGAUAAAAAAAAAAAAACAAGGAAAUGGGAAAAGUGACCCAUGAGAAUUAGAAACAAAAUGUUUUAAAUGAAAGAUAUAUAUAUUCUACUUGGGUACUAUUUUUCCUAAUCGUUUAUGGCCCAUAAUAGACGAGUAGUGGUUAUUAAAUUGUACUUAGUUGCUUAAGAUUCUGCUGGUUGCUAAUUUACACUGAUUGACAGUUCAAAGUUUACUUAUCUGGCACAUGUUUAUGGAUCGAUUUAGCAAGUGCAUUAUCUAAACAGACUCCAUCCAUUUUCAUCAUUUGGGAUGUUUUGCCAAUUGGAUCUGAUUUUCGGGUGAAAAACAUUAGUCUGAUUUGUAUUCACUUGAAAAUCCCAUGCUAUUCUAAAUUCAUAGGAUUUCUGAAGAGUUAUUAUUUAUUUAUUUUUUCACUUCAAUCUAAUGGUUGUCUGAACUUCUAAUUUGGAUGCUGUAUAGCUUAUUUUUCAAGAGAAAUGUAGGCCUGCGGUUUGACCAACAUCUGUUAACAUCUCUUUUCAGAUUAUAUCAGCUCUUGGCGUUUAGAUUCUGAGCUUGAGAGCAAUAUUGAUCAGGCAAGCUUCUCUCAUUGUCUAAUCAUAUUCAUAUACAUAAUCCAGGAUCUCUAUUAAUCCAUUUUCUUUUACAGAGUAACAGUACCGUAUUAUAUGAAAUGACUACUGUCCAAGAUGAAAGCAAAACAAAGAGAGAAAAUGUACAUCACCUCAGAAAAAUCACAUUUCGGCGAUUCAUAUAUGGUCAAUUAAUGAUUUUAUUAAGCAAAAAAUUUAUGUUCCUUUAUUUCAACAUGCCAGAUGACUGUUGCAGAACUAAUUGAAGUUUAUGAAGGGUGCAGUUCAAGUAUGCUAAAGACUCAAUCACGUCGUCGAUUUGCUUCUUUAAAGAGGAUUUCUCCUGCAAAUUUCUCAAAAGAGGUAUUCAGUUGAGUUGUUGUCACCAAAAAUAUUGAAGCCUGACUAGAAAAUAAAAAGCUUACCCUUAGGGGAUCCUUACUCUAAAAGCUUUGCUGAACCAUUCGAUUUUAAAUCAUGGUCCUUCGUGUUAAAUUUAAUGGGGUUUCUCAGAGGUUUGUAUUUGGCAUUUGAGAAACAUAUGCAGACUUUAAAGAGUUUUUUCUAAUUGUACACUGUUUUUGAAGAAAAAGGGUGAUCUUGCUUUUCCAAUGAAAAAGAAUAGAUAAGAAACAAUUACCAGUGACAUUUUUUUUUCUUUCUUAAAAUAAUAUUUUCGUAUACAGAUUUUAGUAAAAGAAAAUUAAUAAUUUGGUUUCUUACUGUAUGUUCCAAGGGUUUCAAUUUCCUCUCCAUUGAAAAAGAAUGAAACAAGAAACUAAUAACACUCCUUAUGCCUUUUAUCUCUUUAAGAGAUUGGAACAGAAGUUGUUCCUUACGUUUCCGAUUUUCUUUUUUCUUAUUCCUCAAUAAUACUAUAUUGCAGGCACGGCGUUCCAUUUCUGAUGAAGUUCUGCAGCAGAUUAGAACGCUCAAUUACUUGGAUAUGGAACUUUUUGAGCAUGCUCGAGAAAUCUUUGCAAUGAGACGUGUACUGAUGGGGAAUAUUGAUAUGAAAGUGAGUCCUUUUUACUUCUCAAUUCCUUUUAGAUUUCUCUUCCAACUUGAAAUGUUGUCUUCAUACUCAUCAUCUAGGAAUCGACAAUUUUGAUGAACACAGGCAUGGUCACACUAAAAAAUAACCUCUAUUCUAAGAAACACGAGCACUUUUUGUUUGGCUAGCUUGUCCACGUCCGACAUGCAUCAAACAUUUGGAUACAUUUGUUGGACAUGCAUUGGACAUUCAUUAGUUCAACAAAUGUGUUGGACACUAGUUGUGCAAGUCAAAAUAGGAUCAACAUUUGAUGGACUUCUAUCAAACACUUGUAUAGUAAGUUAACACGCAUAAUAAACCUUAGAGAACAAAAUACAUCAAACUAAUUUUUUUACCAUAGAAAUGUAUCUUUAUCAUGCCCAUGUCCUAAUUUUAAAAAAUGACGCGCCGUGCCCAUAUUUUAUAUCCGUAUCCGUGCUCCUUGGCCUUUAAAUAGUUAUACAUUCCAGAUAAUACAAAAUCUCACCAUAUAACAAACUGAAGUGUAAGUUGUCUCAUGAUUUCUCAUGCAAAUACAACAAAAUUUGCAGGAUGGAUCAGAAGGCAAAUUUGACCGUCUACGUGUGUUCGAGCUAUGGAAAAUUCCUUCAUUAGUAGUGCUUUUUAUCUUACUCCUUGUUCUCUUCGUAUUUGCGAACGCUCGAAGAAGAGUAUCUAAAGUUAAGGUAUAGUUGUUGAUUUAAUUUAUCCUCAAAGUGGGGAAGAAAGUCUAUGCAUCUGUUUGGAUUUUAAAUUUUUAAAUGAAUGAACAGUUUUGCCCAUCAAUCCUGUUUAAGGAAUUGUUUAUAGUUCUUGCUUACCUGAGAUUCUGUUUUUCGUCUCUGAUUUUGAAAUAGUUUUCUGCAUUAAAGGCGGAGACUCUAAGGGGUUGUUUGAUUUAAAGUUUUAUGGAUGUUCAAUGAUGAAGGAGGAAGGAUAUUUGCCUUCCAUAAGAGGAAGUUAUCACUUUACUUUUGCAUGAACUUAUAAGAUAUAUGUGAUCCCUUUAGAAUUUGUUUGUUUGAUGCAGGUUAGAAAUAAGUACUAAUAUUUCCACGUGAAGCUUACCCUUACCUUUCCAAUGUUGAUCAAUUUGUACAUUUUUUUUCUAUGGAUAUUUGAUUUAAGUUCUAAUAAUGGAAUUGAGGCCUUAAGAUGCUCAAAUGUAAUAAGUAAUAAGUAUUAAUGGAAAUCUAGAACAUUAGAAUGUGUGAAAAAUCAAUUGAGAUCAUAAAACAAAAAGACGAUGAAAAAGAAUGAGUUGAAAACUAUGAAAAUGAGGUGAGUUUGUUAUUGCAAAUAAGAUUCCAAAACGCUCGAUACAAAUAUGGGGGUUGGGUCAUACUACAUUACAACCUUAUUAAUUAAGGUCCUCAAGUAGCCUCUUUGCGUUGGGUCAUACUACAUUACAAGCUUAUUAAUUACAAGCUUAUUAAUUAUGGUCCUCAAAGUAGCCUCUUUUAAGUCAAUGAUCUUUUCAUUGUAUUUUGGAUUUCAAUAUUUUAUAGCCUAUUAUUUUACAGCCUACUAAUGCAAUAAUAGUAAACAAUUCAGAUCCAUGAUAGGUUUUAGGAUAAAAAAAAAAAGUGUUCACUGCUAAUUUACGAGAUGUAAACCAGUGACAUAAAAUGAAUAUAUUCAAGAUAGAGCAAUAUAAAAUGAUAUAAUGGUUAGGUCUAUUUGUUUUACUUGUCUUUCUAUAGAUUUCAAACAAUCUGUAUGAUUUCACCUUUUUAAAAUUUAAGAUUUUAUUAUCUAAUGAACUUUGAGAGAGAAUAGUAAGAAUGUAGUCUAAUUAUAAAUUAAUAUCAAUUAAUUAUUACUAUUAAUUUUAAUUAAUUAGUGAAUUUAAACACAUUAUUUAAACUUACAUAAUAAACGUCAAUUAUAAGUAACAUUUUAUGUUAGGUUAACUAUUUAAUAUAAAUUAUUACUAUUAUAUUAAAGAGAAAUAUCUUAAACGAACUAAAAAUAUAGUAAAAUAUCAAUACAAAUAUAACUAGUAGUAUGUUUGUGUAUAAGAGCCAAGAGAGACAUGGCCACAUACACGUGUAAUUUUUCUUCUAAAGGAUCAUAAUACGCAAUCAUGUAAAAAAUGAUAUACAAUCGCGUAGUUCAUAAUACACGAUUGUUAGUUCAUGAUAAACAAUGGUUUUGAAAGUCAUAAUAAACGAUUAUGUAGAUGAUGAUACACGAUCAUGUGUAGUUUAUGAUAUAUGAUCAUGUAAUUCAUGAUACAUUAUCGUGUAUUUUAUGAUACAUGAUCACAAUUCAUGAUAAUGAUGGUUUUGAAAAACCUAUGGUAAACGAUCGUGUAGUUCAUCUCUGUUCAUGACACAUUGAAAAAAAUAAUAAAAGAUUGAUGAUUGAUUGAAAACAAGGAUAAUAAUAUCAUAAGUAUAAUGAAAAAUAAUAAUAAUAAUUGUAUAACAAUGAUCAUGAUUUUAAAAAAAUUUGCAGAAGAAGAAAAGGUGACCACCCAUGUGAAGAAGAUGGAAAGAAAGAAAGAAGAAAUAUGAUCUGUUCGAAAUUUAAAAGCGGCAAGAACAAACAUGAAAUAUUUUUUGAAAAUUGUCGAUGUCAUGGACUUUUUAUUUUGUUAUACGAGUCGUAAAUAUUUUAGAUUCUUGUUAUAUUUAUGAAAAAUAACAUUAAAUAAACAUAUUAAAUAUUUAAAUUUGAAAGAUCAAAAUAAUAUAUAAAGCUAAAUAUUGAAUAGUUUAAAUUUGGAGUAUGAAAAACAAAACGAAAAAAUAAAUGUAGCUAAAUAGAAAAGAAAAUCUAAAAUUAAAUAUAAAAUUUGAAAAUCAAGUAAUAUAUAAAUCUAAAGGUUUUUUUUUUAUAUAAAAAAUAUAACAAACCGACGAAAUAUUUACCCUAUAUAGAACAAUUUUGAAAAUGGAAAAAGUGCGUAAGUCCACAAUGAAAAUACAAAAAAUGUCCCAGUCAACAUACGAUUAAUCGGUCACGCGCGUGUGUAAUUUUUCUUCUACACAAUCAUAAUACAGGCUCGUGUAAGAAAUGAUACAUGAUCAUGUAGGUAGUAUCAACAUGAUGGUGGAGUUCCUUUUCACGAUGAAAAAAAAAAUGCUUCAAAUCUGAACGAUUGUGUUGACCACGCUAAACAAUUGUGUUAACUAUGGUAAGUGAUCAUUUACAUCAUAUUCACGUGAUCAUGUAAUUAUUUUUAAACGAUGGAAAAAAGGCUUCAAAUCUAAGCGAUCAUUGACCAUGGCAAAUGAUUGUGUUGAUUCGGUAAGCGAUCAUUGAGAUCAUAUCCAUAUGAUCAGUUAGUUCUUUUUAAACGAUGGAAAAUGAGCUUCAAGUCUAAAUGAUCCUGUUGACCCAUGCUAAACGAUCGUGUUGACUAGGUAAGUGAUUAUUUAAAUAUAACUUUGAUAUGAUAUUUAAACAAAGUGAUAUUUAAACGACUUGAUAUUUUGGAAGAGGAGUUAGAAGAGAGAAGAUGAAGAAAUAAAUAAAUAAAAGAUAAAUAAAAAUAAAAGAAAGAAAAUCCAGAAGAAAUGGUGAAGAAAUCUAGAAGAAAAAAUGUGAAUAAAUCACAAAGAAAAAGAAAGAUUAAUGAAUCGUCCCAGUAUCAAUUUUAAAUUAAAAAACGAUUUAGGUAUUAUUUUCAACUAAGUAUAAAAUUAGUUAGAAAAAUAUAAAAAAUCUUAACAAAUAAAUAUUUGAAAGAUCAACUUUCAUGUGUAAGGUAAAGCAGUUGGUUGAAGGUACACAAUCAACUAAUAUUUACUAAAUACCAACUUAUGACUUCUAAAACUAAAUAAUAUAGUCAAAUACCGAAUCCAUCGCUACUAGAAAACUGAAAUGUAAUGAUGCAAAUUAUAUGUCAUAAACAGUUUCUGUGAUACAGAUUUUGCAUCUUUGAAGCUCUUGUAAAGAUUAGACAUUUAAUGACACAUUUAACGUCAAUAAUCAAUUUCUCCUCUCAUUCAACAUCUGUCACGAUUAAUUGAAUUUUGACAUAAUUAAAUUAUCAUUGUUGAAGUCCAAAUUGGUUUAUUUUUAUAAUAUUUUCGUUAUUGACGACACUUUUGUUGUGUCAUGGAUUGACUUUUAUUAACAAUUUUGUUGAUACAGACACUUCUUCAAUGUCAUUAUUUUUCAGAUCAUACCAUGGUUUUUACUAAAGGUGUUCACAGUUUGGUUUCAAACAAAACCACAAAAUGCAAAAAAAAAAAAAUCUCAUACAAAAUCGAAUAGAACUGCACAUUUAUGACAAACUGAAUCAAAACCAGACCGCAUAUGUGGUUCGAUUUAAAUCCCAAAGAAUUUCAGGCCACCAAAGCUUGGAAAUCUCGUCUCACCUGUUCGGGUCAAGUGAAUAAAUUUUUGAAGAGCCUGCGAGCCGCUUAGUAAGAAAGGAUUGUGGAAGAAGAAAAGAAAAGAGAGCAUGCGCGAACAAGAAAUAAGAAAGAUGAGGAGAGGGCCUUGCGAGAGGAUCAUACAAAGAUAGAAGAAUUAAGAAUGAGGGAGGAUGAGAAGCGAAGACAACAGGAGUACGCACACAAGACACACAUGAUGGCGACAAAAAGAGAAAAAGACAAGGCACACGAGGAGGAUGAACGUCUUCGCCAAUUAUCUGCAAAGAAAAAGCAAAGUAUCACCUCCCUAGAAGGAGCGAAGAGUAAGUUAGCGGAGGUGCAAGCCACUAAGAAGACAAAACUUGAUACCCUCGCAGACUUAAGCGAGUAGGUAAACAGGGUGGCCGCCACAAAUGAAGCGAUAGAAAAACAGGAAAUUGACCACAUGGAUAUUGUGGCUGAAGAAUUGACACAGAAAUUGAAAUAAUGAGUUGUACGGAAUCAUUAAUGCAAACUGAAUAACUCGAGCUUCUAAGCAGCAAAUGUCCUCAGAAAGGAAAAAGCCAAGGCAGGGACAUCCAUACCUAAGGAUGAUAGAAAAAGGGAAAAUGAUGGACACCCAAGAUCUAGAAAAAAUCAUAAAGAUUGAAAAUUGCUAUCUUUUAAUGGGCUACUACCCGACUUUCUCUACGGUCCAAUCUGUCGCGACGUGAUCGCUACGCGGAGCGACCGACCUUCCCGUUUAUUUAAUUUUAAUAAAUAAUUUUGGAGUCGCCACCAACCAUAUUAGGGUGUGAUUGGUCACCCAAAAAAAAAAAAAAAAUGGUCUGCGUACAUUCAGAGAUUUAAGUUCGGGAGUCAGUUGUGUGUAGGGAAGGUGUUAGCACCCUACAACACCCAAAAAAUGGUUACCCAAUUUUAUCUUUUAAAUUAAAUUAUAGAGGUUCACAAAACAAAGUUUUUAUUUAGGUUUUGUUUAAAUGUCCCAUGUUUAUCAAUUCAUAUCGAAGAAAGUAAAACCUAAGCAUGAAUUGAUGAUUAUGGGUGGCAUAGGAACCAUUAGAAAAAUUAAGUUUAUUUUUGUUUUAAAAAAUUUUUAUUCACCUUAAGAAUAUUAAGAUACCAAAACUUGAUAUUUUAAUAUCUAUCAUAGGUGUUUAAUGAGAAAUUUCAUGUAUCUAGAAUAAAAACACUACUCAGUCUCAUUUAAAAUAUGAAAUGUGUUUAUUUAAAACAAUCUAUUAAUUAAAUUUCAAACGAAAAAAUUUCAUGGAUUCAUGGAAUUUAAAUUAUAAAAUCCAUAAAAAACAAUACUUUUCUCCGAUUUACAUUUUUAUAUUUCAAUUGGAAAAUGAAUAAUAACAAUGAGCAAAACAUUAUGAAAUUUGAAAAAUACUUAAAGGGUAAUAUGUUGAGAUAAAAUAAAUGCAUAAAACAAAUACAUGAUAAUGUAAACAAUAUGCAAAAUGUACAAGAUGAUUAAUUAAUACAGCAGAGGCAAGAUAAUUAAUUAAUGCAGAAUGAUACAAAAUAACUAAUUAAUUCAAAACAUGUAAAAUAAUUAAUUAAUUCAAAAGGAUGCAAAAUAAUUAAUUAAUUCAAAAGGAUGCAAAAUAAUUAAUUAAUGCAGAAAGGUGAAAAAUAAUUAAUUAAUGCGGAAAUAGGCAAAUUAAUUAAUUAAUUCAGAAAUAUGCAAAAUAAUUAAUUAUGCCAGACGAGAGUAAUAAAUAAUUACUCGAGGAUGUCAAAUGGGUGAAAUAAUAAUUAACUGCAGAGUGUCCAAGUGGAUGCAAAUAAUUAAAACAUGUAAAAUGAGUGUCAAAUGAUUAACAGAACAACUAAUUAAUGAGUGAUUUAAAUGAAUAAUUAAGACAUCACCCAAAUGGAUGCCAAAUAAUUAAGCUAGUAUCAUCAACUUGAAUAAAAAAAAAAGAACUUACAAGGUUUGCCUUAAAUGCAAAAUGUUCUGGGUUGAUCCUCUUCACCUCUUCCAAAAAAAAAUUCUUUUACGUGUCACUCUUCUCUAUCAAAUAAUAUAUAAAGCUAAAUAUUGAAUAGUUUAAAUUUGAAACUUAAAUUAAACAUGUAAGUAUGAAAAACAAAACGAAAAAAUAAAUGUAGCUAAGUAGAAAAGAAAAUCUAAAAUUAAAUAUAAAAUUUGAAAAUCAAAUAAUAUAUAAAUCUAAAGGUUUUUUUUUAUAUAUAAAAAAAAUAUAACAAAUCGACAAAAUAUUUACCCUAUAUAGAACAAUUUUGAAAAUGGAAAAAGUGCGUAAGUCCACAAUGAAAAUACAAAAAAAUGUCUCAGUCAACAUACGAUUAAUCGGUCACGCGCGUGUGUAAUUUUUCUUCUACACAAUCAUAAUACAGGCUCGUGUGAGAAAUGAUACAUGAUCAUGUAGGUAGUAUCAACAUGAUGGUGGAGUUCCUUUUCACGAUGAAAAAAAAAAUGCUUCAAAUCUGAACGAUUGUGUUGACCACGCUAAACAAUUGUGUUAACUAUGGUAAGUGAUCAUUUACAUCAUGUUCACAUGAUCGUGUAGUUCUUUUUAAACGAUGGAAAAAAGGUUUCAAAUCUAAGCGAUCAUUGACCAUGGCAAAUGAUUGUGUUGAUUCGGUAAGCGAUCAUUUAGAUCAUAUCCAUAUGAUCGGUUAGUUCUUUUUAAACGAUGAGAAAUGAGCUUCAAGUCUAAAUGAUCUUGUUGACCCAUGAUAAACGAUCGUGUUGACUAGGUAAGUGAUCAUUUAAAUAUCACUUUGAUAUGAUAUUUAAACAAAGUGAUAUUUAAACGAUUUGAUAUUCUGUAAGAGAAGUUGGAAGAGAGAGAAGAUGAAGAAAGAAAGAAAAAAGGAUAAAUAAAAAUAAAAGAAAGAAAAUCUAGAAGAAAAGCCGAAGAAAUCACAAAGAAAAAGAUGCGAAUAAAUCACAAAGAAAAAGAAAGAGAUUAAUGAAUCGUCCACGAUAUCAAUUUCAAGUUAAAAAAAAUUUAGGUAUUUUUUUCAACUAAGUUUAAAAUUAGUUAGAAAAAUAUAAAAAAUCUUAACAAAGAAAUAUUUCAAGGAUCAACUUUUGGUUGGGGUAUGCAUGUGUAGGGUAAAACACUUGGUUGAAGAUACACAAUCAACUAAUAUUUACUAAAUACCAACUUAUGACUUCUAAACUAAAUAAUAUUAGUCAAUUACCGAAUCCAUCGCUACUAGAAAAUUGAAAUGUAAUGAUGCAAAUUAUAUGUCAUAAAUAGUUUCUGUGAUACAGAUUUUGAAUCUUUGAAGCUCUUGUAAAGAUUAGACAUUUAGUGACACAUUUAACAUCAAUAAUCAAUUUCUCCUAACAUUCAACAUCUGUCACGACUAAUUGAGUUUUGACAUAAUUAAAUUGUCAUUGUUGAAGUCCAAAUUAGUUUAUUUUUAUAACAUUUUCGUUAUUGACGACACUUUUGUUGUGUCAUGGAUUGACUUUUAUUAACAAUUUUGUUGAUACAAACACUUCUUCAAUGUCAUUAUUUUUCAGAUCAUACCAUGGUUUUUACUAGAGGUGUUCACAGUUUGGUUUCAAACAAAACCACAAAAUGCAAAAAAAAAUCUCAUACAAAAUCGACCAGAACCGCACGUUUAUGACAAACUGAAUCAAAACCAGACUGCAUAUGUGGUUCGGUUUAAAUCCCAAAGAAUUUCAGGCCACCAAAGCUUGGAAAUCUCGUCUCACUUGUAGGGUCAAGUGAAGAAAUUUUUGAAGAGCCUGCGAGCCGCUUAGUAAGAAAGGAUUGUGUGGAAGAAGAAAAGAAAAGAGAGGAUGCGUGAACAAGAAAUAAGAAAGAUGAGGAGAGGCCCUUGCGAGACGAUCAUACAAAGAGAGAAGAAUUAAGAAUCAGGGAGGAUGAGAAGCAAAGACAACAGGAGUACGCACACAAGACACACAUGAUGGCGACAAAAAGAGAAAAAGACAAGGCACACGAGGAGGAUGAACGUCUUCGCCAAUUAUCUGCAAAGAAAAAGCAAAGUAUCACCUCCCUAGAAGGAGCGAAGAGUAAGUUAGCGGAGGUGCAAGCCACUAAGAAGACAAAACUUGAUACCCCUCGCAGACUUAAGCGAGUAGGUAAACAGGGUGGCCGCCACAAAUGAAGCGAUAGAAAAACAGGAAAUUGACCACAUGGAUAUUGUGGCUGAAGAAUUGACACAGAAAUUGAAAUAAUGAGUUGUACGGAAUCAUUAAUGCAAACUGAAUAACUCGAGCUUCUAAGCAGCAAAUGUCCUCAGAAAGGAAAAGGCCAAGGUAGGGACAUCCAUACCUAAGGAUGAUAGAAAAAGGGAAAAUGAUGGAUACCCAAGAUCUAGAAAGAAUCAUAAAGAUUGAAAAUUGCUAUCUUUUAAUGGGCUAUUACCCGACUUUCUCUGCGGUCCAAUCAAGGCGCUCUAAUGAGAGAAGUUUUUUAUAGGUGAAACAAAGAUAAGGUUGGAUCUGGUCGAGAUAUUUUAUGCAGCAAAUUUCCACCCUCAGGAAUCAUAUGUCGUAGUGGAAGGAGAGAAAGUCUCAUUUACUUUGGAAGAGAUUAAUGAGUUGUACGACCUACUUAAUGACCCUGAAGCAUACUCCGACCAGAGCAUUAUUGAUAGCCCAAUGCGGAGAGAUGCGAAAAAGGUUAACCAAUUAAUCGCAAGGCUAAGGGCUAAGUGGACAAAAACACCAAUUGAAAGACUUCAAGAGUUCCCACACCAGUUGACAACCAAGGCAAAAGUCUUAGUGUUUUUCGUUAAAAAGAUCCUUCCUACAUGUUAUGAUAGCGCAAUGCCCUUGGAGUAUGCGUUAGUUCUCUAUUAUAUCAUGACAAAGCAGACGUUUAAUCUAUAAGAAAUUAUCAAUAGAGCAAUUCUUGAUUGGUGAAGAAACUCAAAGGGAGCAACACCAUUCCUAUCUACCUUGGAGAAGUUGUGUCUAAAGUAUCUACCAACCCUAGCUAGAUUCCCGCAAACUAACAUAACGACAGGAAAUUACAACCUCACGGGUCUGAAUCGUAUUCAAACUGUUCAUCACAACAAGGAGGAAGCGCAAAGAUUAAAAACACAAGCGCCAAAAGAAGGAGAGGGUUCAUAAACCCAAGAAUCUCCAUCAUUGCCCCGCUCAAAAGGAAAACACAAACUGCAUGGAAAGUGGGUGGUGUAGACAAAGAGGACCUAGCUCUCCAUGAGCCAAAACAUAAAAAGUGGCUAAAGGUGCCUAUUAAGAGAACUUUGAUUUUAGAGUCGUCUGCCAAAUCAUCCCAAGAACAACAUCAUUCGCUUGACAAUGAUGCUGAUGAUGAAAUUGAUCCGCCACUUCCUUGCAAGAAAAUCAGACUUUACCACCACAUAUUCCUGAAACACAAACCACACCUAGUUUAGUUGUUGAUCCCCCAUUACCAUCCACUCCUAUAUCUCCUAGCCAGCAAAGUCCUCGCCUAACCCUUAACUUCCAAAUCCAACUCCCUCAUCACUCACCUACAUUUAAGAACACCCUCACUGGCCAAACUCCUAUAAGAACUCCUUCGCGAAAAACAUAUGUGUCGCCAAACCACUUAUCUAGCCAAUCAUCCAUCAUUAACUUGGAGUCUGACCCAAGUGCGUUGAAAGUUCCUAAGAAAAUUACACCUACCAAGGAUAAUUCAAGUGAGCUCACGACAGACGAUGUUUAGACCAUACACAAAAGAAGAGGAAUCAAAAUGCAUUGCUCUAACCUUUGAGUUACAUAAGCCCUUAUAUUAGGGAUACAUAGUUCAAAUAUCUCUCAUCUCAUUCUUUUUAGAAAAAGGGAAAGGUAGAUGCAAUCUAGCGUUCAUCCUCUAAACUUCAAUAUCAUUUUAAGGCUUAUAAAAUUGACUCUUAAUCAGUGAUGCAUGAAAUGGUACCACAAAUCUUGAAAGAUAAUAAAUCAAAAGGAAAUGAGAGUUUCAGCUUCUUACUUGAUUAAAAGAUUUAGUAUCAAUGAAUAAGAAAAGGACAAGAGAAUGUGAAGGACGUUAAGUGAAAUUCACGAUACAAAACUUGAGUCCCCAAGUCAAACUAUAUGAUCAUAUUAAACGAUGGACUAUAUUUAUGAGAAGCUCAAGAUAAAAUUCUAUCAUACAACUUGAAGUUGUGAAGUUGAGGCAAAUUUGAAAUGACUCGUGGAUGUGGUUCAGCAUUCGUAAUAAGAAUUUGAUUGCAGAAGAAAAGUGGACUACCUUUCUACUUGGUACUUUAGUAAUUAGUACCUUGAUUAUUAUUUCCAAGGUAUGAUAGUUUUGUGGUAGAAAAGACAAAUAACGUUCACGUGUCAGCUUAUGCAAUAUGUCAAUGAAGACUAGAGAUGUUGCAUGCCAAGUAAAUAAAAAAUAAAGCACCAAGUAAACAAGGAAUAAAGCAGUCAGAUGCCAAAUAAAUAAAGAAUAAAGCAUCAGAUGCCAAGUAAAUAAAGAAUAAAUCAGUCGGAUGCCAAGUAAAUAAAGAAUAAAUCAGUCGGAUGCCAGGUAAAUCAAGAUUAAAGCAGUCGGAUGUCAAGUAAAUAAAGAAUAAAGUUGCGGGAUACCAAAUAAAUAAAGAAUAAAGCUGGUGAAUGCCAAAUAAAUAAAGAAUAAAGCUGUCGGAUGCCAAAUAAAUAAAGAAUAAAGCUGUCGGAUGCCAAAUAAAUAAAGAAUAAAGCUGUCGGAUGCCAAAUAAAUAAAAAAUAAAGCAGUCAGAUGCCAAAUAAAAAAAGAAUAAAGCAGUCUGAUAUCAAAUAAAAAAAGAAUAAAACAGUCUGAUGCCAAAUAAAUAAAGAAUAAAGCAGUCGGAUGACAAUUAAAUAAAGAAUAAAGAUGUCGGAUGCCAAGUAAAUAAAGAAUAAAGCAGCCGAAUGACAAUUAAAUAAAGAAUAAAGUAGUCGGAUGACAAUUAAAUAAAGAAUAAAGAUGUCGGAUGCCAAGUAAAUAAAAAAUAAAGCAAUCGCAUGCCAAGUAAAUAAAGAAUAAAGCAGUCAAAUGCCAAAUAAAAAAAGAAUAAAACAGCAGAAUGCUAGGAUGCCAAAUAAAUAAGCAGCAUGUCAAAUGGGUGUCAAAUAUUCAACACACUUAACCACACAAUAAAUUGAAGCCUAAAUCUAAAGAAACUAAGCAUAGCAAAUCGGCUUGGUCUAAAUCCAAUAAAAUUGAAAUCACACUAAAAGAAUUCAAUUCAAACAAAAUUUAAAGUAUGCAAUAAUUACCAAAUCAAUUCAGAUCCAAUUGAAAAAAGAAAGAGAAAUUACCUUUGAAAUACCUUGAUUUGGAGAUAAUGUUCUUUUAUCAACCCUCCCAAAUAGGUCGAAUGAGCAGAUAAAAAUAUUUGUACACUCCAUCCCUACAAAAAAAUCUUCAUUACAAAGUUGAUCAUUUUUUAGAGCAAUGGAGUGAAGGCAUACAAGGAAAAAACAAAAAUAGUGGGGUGGAUUAGUUGAGAAAAAUAGAGAGGGGAAACCACUUUUUCGUUUAUUUAUUUUUUAAAAUUUCUUUCUGUUUUUUAUUUAAAAGGUUGAAUUUAAAAUUUGAAUUCAAAUUCAAACUCUUAUAUAAAAAUAAAAUGAACAUAAAUAAAAUGAAUGAAUGAAUAUAAAAAAUAAAAAGUGAAGAACAAAAUGUGGUAUCUAUAAUAUAAAUGCAAAGAUGAUAUAAAUCUUUUAUGGAGAGACAAUGUAUUCCUUAGUUUUGAUGAAGCCAUUGAUGAUACAAAAGAAUUACUAUGAACAAGAAUUUCUAAAUUCCUUAUUGCCAAAUGUAUUUCCACCCCGUAAACUUAUUUUAAAGAAAGGUUGUCCCAUAAUGCUUCUAAGAAAUUUAGACUCAUCAAACGGUCUUUGUAAUGGGACAAGAAUAGUGUGUCGAGACUUUGGAAAACAUGUGAUUUUUUUGAAAUAGCAAUGGGCCAACAUAUUGGCAAGCAUGUCGUCAUACCGCAUAUACCUUUGAGUCGUGCAAAUGAUGAAGGGUAUCCAUUCAAAUUUAGGAGGAAACAGUUUUCAGUACACCUUAGUUUUGCAAUGACCAUUAACAAGGCACAAAGACAAACAAUACCACAUGUUGGAAUUUAUCUUCCACAAAAUGUCUUCUCACAUAGACAAUUAUAUGUUGCACUUUCCAGAGGCGUAUCGAUGAAAAUGGCGAAAAUUCUGUUGUAUACAGAUGUUGGAAAUGUAACAAAAAAAACAUUGUAUAUAAAGAAGCACUCAUUUAAGUAUGUCUUUAAUAUUAUUAUUUUUAAAAUUUAUCAUUGCAUACUAUUUGUUCAUUUUAGCAAAAAUAUAUAUUAACUAGGUUCUCACAUGCAACACACGUUUAUAUACUAUAUUAAAAGUGGCUUAUGGAAGAAUCAUUUUUGGACGAUUUUACCCUUUGCCAAAUUCUAAAUUUACAAUAUCAACUAAAUUUAAUUUAAUUUUUAUUUAUGGUUAUUUAAUAAAUAUAAAAAAAAUAUAAUUAUCAUUAACCAUUUAUAAUUGUUUCAAAUUUCCACCUUAUUAUUUAAGAGAUCAAGAGGUUAAAGUAUGAAAAACUAUAUCUUAUUAUUAAAAGUUAAAAGUAGCUUCAGGGGAGAAUCAUUUUUGGAGUGCUAUGUGUUUAGGAAGCUUUUUAAGUACAUAUAUAUUAUCUAGCACACAUCUCGAAUAUUCCAAACUUUUACUAUGUGUUCCAAAGUCGAACUUCCACCGCUCUUAAGUUCUAUAAGUGCUUUACGCAUGUUUAGGAAACCUUUUAGGUAUAUAUGUAUUCUCUUGCACACAUCUAGCACAUUUCAAACUUUUACUAUGUGUUCCAAAAUCGAAUUUCUAUAUCUCUUAAAUUCUAUGGAGUGCUUUUAUGCAUAUUUAAGAUGCCUUUUAGGUACAAAUGUAUUAUCUCGAAUAUAUCUCGUACAUAUCUCACAUAUUUUGCACACAUUUCUCACAUGUCUAGCACAUUCCAAACUUGUGAAUCCCGAAGAAAACAUAAUAACUAGUGAAUUAUGAAGGAAACACAAUAACGGAUGAAUCCCAAAGGAGACCCAACUGUAGAAGAACACAUCACUGCAAGUAUGAGGCAACUACUAGUAAUCCAUAACGAAAUCCACAUAUGUAAGUCGUAUCAUAAAUAUUAGUCACAUAUUUAAUCAACAUGUAAAAUCACCCUAAAUCACAUAAAACAAAUAUAUAAUUGAUCACUGGAUUAAAUAUUUGAAGUUUAGAAGUUGUAAGGUGUUUGCAAAAUGUUUGUUAGAUGUUUGUACGACACAAAUAGUGGCUAAAAGCUCCUUAAACCAUGUGGAAAAUCUUCCUAAAUCACCUAUAAUUGGUUGGAUUAAUCAUUUGAAAUUUGAAAGUUGCGAGAUGUUUGCGAGAUAAAAAAGAAAAUAGUACCUAAAAACUCUAUAAAAAAUGUGCAAAAUCACCUAAAAUAAGUAUCAAAUUGAUUUAAUUGGAUAUUUUCAAGUUUAAAACUUGUGAGAUGUUUGCAAGGUAAAAAAAAUAGUAGCUCCCUUGAUGUGUAAAAUCAUGCUAAUUUUUUCAUAUUAGUUAAGAAAUCGUAAACUCAAUUUAAAAAAUCGACUUUAAAGAAUUUCUCCAUAAAAAUUUCGCAUAUAACAGUAAAAAAAAAUACUAAAUUAACAUUUACCAAAUAGCACGACAACUUAAUCAAAAGUGACAAAAAGAUUAAUAGUAAGUUUGAAAGAAUAAGUUUAAUAAAAUAGUAAGUAAAUCAAACUUUGGGUAUAUACACUUAUCUAAUUUCACAUAAACAAUUAUAUGUAUCAUUUUAAGGAAAAAAAAAAAGCAAAUCAAACACAAAAUUUCAUAAUAUCUCAUUUUGAUUUAUUUAUAUCAUUUUAGAGAAAAAAAUUAAUUUAUUUUACGCAACUUCCUAAUUUAAUUUAUUCUUUAUUUAUUUAUUUAUUUAUAUAUAUAUAUAUAUUCAAUAUUCAAUAUUUAAUAGUUGUAGAAUGUGUCUCUAAUAAUGCAAAAAAAAAUUCACUAAUUUUACCAAAAUAGUUUUGAAAACACUCCAUAUUCCCACUUUUUUUUUUAUUAUUAUAUCACUCCAUGUAAAAUGUAGUUGGACUACUAUUUAUUAAGUUAAUAAAAGAGAUUGUUUGUUAGUAUUUAUGAUGGGUAGUGGUGACUUUCUUAAUUCUUAAUAAUUAAAGGAGCUAAACAAAACUAGGCUAUAAAGCCAAAUUUUCAAGGACUUAAGUGAACAUUCUAAUGUUUUAUCUUGAGACGUUAGGAAUGCUCAAGCUACGUCAACGCAUGCAGGACGUGACAUGUUUAAUUAUUAAGUUAAUAAAGAAGUAUUUCUGUUGUGUAAUGAUUUUCUUAUCGCUUAAUAAGUAAUUAAAGGAGCUAAACAGAACUAGGCGACAAGGCCAAUGUUUCAAAGACUUAAGUGAGCAUAUAUUUUGGGGUUUCAUCUUGAGACGUUGGGAAUGCUCAAGUCCCAUGGCAUGCAACAUAAUGAGUUAAAGAACGCAUGUAAGACAAAACGUGACAUCAAUUUUAUGAUUACCUUUGAAAAUCAUUCAUGCAUUAAGAAUAUAUUUACCCAAUUAUAAUUCAAAAUUGGUGUAAAGUAAUAAAGUUCCAUUUGAUUGGUGAAUUGUAGUAAGCCUAAAUCACUAACGUAGUUGAAUUUCUUUUGAUCGUGUUUAUUUAGAAUUACAAUAUGUUACAUUUAUUGUUACCUUUACCAUUUGACCCUAAACGAUAAUGGUAACAGUAAAGGUAAAAGUCAUACUAAAAUGUGACAAAUUUAUAAAUUCUCAUACGAGUAUGUAAUAAUAUUUCUAUCUUAUAAUUAUAACAAUAACAUUAAAGAAAGUAUUGAGUCUCAUAUGUAAUUUUCAUGCAAAAUCAAAUCAAACAUCAUUCUUUUGCAUGAAUUAUGACAAUGUGUAGAGGAGGUUGAAACAAUUUGAUUAUAGAUUUGGAGACGAAACAUAAGUAAACAAUAAAUGUAAUCAACUAGGGACUACUUUUUACAUUUCUAUCAACAUAUCGUUUACGUUUCACAUAGGAUAAAUGUGGCCUAAUUUUCAAACAUGAAUAAACUUCUUCAAAUGUUGGUUUUACGAAAUGGAUGACUAUAAUUAAUGAAUGAACAAUUUUCAACGACAAAUUUUGUAUUAGUAAAUUGAUCCGUGUAUAAAAGUUUACAAGUCUAAUUCAUACCAUUACUAUUUCUACAUAAAUUUACGUUAGGUUUUUUCAAACAUUAUUAUUUUUAAAUUAAUGAAAAACAAUGAUUACAUUUAUCAAUGUCUACCAAUAUGUCGAUAUAGCAACACAUAUUAAUGUUUGUGGGGGUGGGGUGGAACUAAAAAAGGAGGAAAGAGAAAGAGAAAACCAUCCAUGUCAACUAGAGAUGUCCGCGGAGCGGGGGCGGGGAUGCCACUCCGUGUACCCGUGACCCCCAUCCCCACCAAUUUCUCCUUAUGGAACGGGGCAGGGAUUCACUGUGGGGAUUACGGGAGGAUCAUGUUACCCGUGGAAAAAUAUUAUCUAAUUUUUUAAAGUUUAAUUUCAUUUUUCAAUCCACAUAUUACUUGAAAUGUAUAUACACUUUCAAUGUUGUUUUAUUUUUGAUAGAAUAUUAUCAAUUUUCUUAUUUAAAACAAUUAAAAUGUCAAAUUCUAAUAGUUUAUAAAAAUAAAAAUAACUAUUGGAGAAACAUUUAGAAAUCUACCCAUAAAUUUUAAAAAUCUACAAAAAAAAAAAAAAAAUUAAUCCAUAAGUAUUCUUACAAAGUCUCAACUACAAACCUAAUUUUUUAAGAAAAGUUUACUAAUCACAAAUUAAGACAUAACAUAUAAAAGUUGAUAACAUAGAAAUGAAAGAAAAAACAUAAAAGAAAUGGAAUAGAAGAGAAAGGAAAGAAAGAAAAUCAAAAUAGCUUUCUUUUUACUCUUUUACAUAUUAUUAAAUAAGUAAAUAAAUAAAUACUUAUAUUUAUAUUUAAUUAUAUAUAUUUAUGUAAUUAAUUAUAUUUUUGUUCGGGCCAGGGCAGGGAUUGGGUUGGGGUCGGGAAUGUAUUCUUCUCUCCGGUCCCAUGUUGUGAAUGAAAAAAAAAAAAUUACACCACUCCUUUCCUUAUUCUCCAUGUAUUCAAGAAUUUUUCGCUGGUUAAAUGGACAUCUCUAAUUUCAACAUUUCAAUUUAGCAAAGAUAAUAUCAAAAUAUUUUAGUUUUCAUCGUGGCAUGUUAGCAUUCAACUAGGGUCCAAUUAAUGUAGAACAUUGAAACCAAAUUUCAAACAUCUAGAAUUAUAAAGUGUGCUUUUAAAAUUUUGUUGACUAAAUAAACACCAAAUUUAAAUUUAAAAUUCUUUUGAUGUCGAAAUUCGAAUGUAAAGAAGUCUGACCUUUACAAAAACUUACAGACAGUGUGAUACUUGUCACACAUUUUAAUAUUCUAGUGGUAGUGAGACCGAGAAGCUUCUUAAGUGAAAAUAAGGAUUCUCCUCAAUUUUCUACUUUCCAAAUUCUUGGUUCAAACACCUCCUUAAUUAAAAACUUUUGGGUUAGAUUAGAGUAAUCUUUUCACUUACAUAAAUUGUGACAUUCCAAAGAUUUUUCUAGGAUUAGUUUGAACGACCAAAACCAUUUUGGUUGUAGUCCUAUUCUCAACUCGAACUUUGUUAUUUCUUGUUGCUUCUAUUUUAUGUUAAUUAAACAAUUAAUUAGGGGUGAGCAUUACAUAUUGAAAACCGAGUCGAUUAACCAAAAUCAAACGAAUCAAAAAUGGUUGGUCGCAGGGGUCGAUUUAUUAAGGGUUGGAGGGUACGCGUCCUCCUCCAAUUUCUAAUUUUCGUAUUUUAAUAUUAAUUUUGAAGUGUUAGAUUAAAAUAUAUGUUAAAUAAUGUUUUAUUGUUAUUAAAUUUUGUCUCUGGUAUAAUGACUAUGCACUCCCUUCAAAAUUCCAAGAUUUUGGGUUUCAGUUAUGUAGUACUCCUAUAUAUGAUUUUUAGGGUUCGACGUUGGUUUCAGAAAAACUGACAUUUUUUAAAAAUUUCAAAGGUUUAUUAAAAUGACCUAUCAAUAUACCAAUGAUCAAUUCGUCCUCCCUCGUAGUCAAAAUUAGUUUCAACGUCUACUAGUUGGUUCGAUAACAAUUUGAUCCAAAAAGUGACUUCUAUCAAACUUUUGAUGUAAAUUCACCCCACACAACCAAACGAGUAUCAUAUGAGGUAAUUGUAUUUUACAAUUUUACCCUCACAAUAAUCCCUUGGCGGUUUCUUAGACCGUCCUAGAACGUCCUUUUCACAUCGUCAAACUCUGUCAAUCUUUGUCUCUCUCUUUAUAUACAUAUUUAGUGGCACUCUGUAUUUUAAGCUUUUCUAACUUUCCUUCUGAUGAAAUCAUUCCAAAUUCUCUGAAAACUACAAAGGUCUUCAAUUGUUGGGCCGAGAGAUUAAUCUUCCCCUUCGUUUUCGGAGGAGGAACUGGAGAAAAUCUAGCCCUUGUUUAGUGGCUAUGUGAUUUCUGGUGUGUGUCUGUUGUGUUUUUGUUCAGGUGGGCAUUUCUGAUUUUAGCUUGUUUUUAGUUUCGAGGUGGUUUUGCAUGGAACAAAGUGGUUUAAGCCUUAAAGAGAUGUUUAAUUCAUGACUUUAUGAACGUGUGUGGAGAUUGUCUCAUAAAACAAUUUACGUCUGCUUGAAAUGUUGUUUCUAGCUCAGUUUCUUAAUUUUUAAGAGAUUAUGUAAAGGAUUUGACAACCCUAUAUGUAUUUCUGUUGCCCCGUUCUCUAGUCAAUACACAAUCGAUUUUGCUGUGAAUGGUCUUUUCCUUUUUUUUUUUUUUAACCUUGUGUCCUUUCUUCUUUUUAUUUUUUAAUCCAGUGGUUGAAGGUGUGAGAUGCAUGGAUCCUACUAUCAAGUUAAUUUUGCUUCUGAUAUUCUUCAGCGUAGGUUGGUGCCUACCCACCCCUGCCUUAUUUGUUUAGAUUUCUGUGUACAACCUUUUGUUUUUCUUAAAUCAUUUUUACCUCUAUAUAUAUUCCUUGUCUCUAGUAAAAUAAUGCGAAUCUAUAAAUUUAAAUUUGAAGCUCAAUCAGAUCAGGUCAUAUUCAUCGUUGUAUAAAUUGGAGCCUUAAAAUUUGUAGUAUUUUUUAAGAUCAUGUUUAUUGUCGUUUUUCUUCUAUUACUGAACGCAUUGAUGAACUAAGUUCUUUCCGUUACAUGCCAGCAUGUGCUUCAACCACUGAAAAAAAAUUUGAACACUGUGAAAGGGUUGUAAAGGAUUGGGCCUUAUCUUCUCUUCAUCAAGGUAUCAACAAUGAUAAACAUACACUAAAAGAUUUACUGUUCUUUCUACAUGUUCCAAGAACUGGAGGGCGAUCGUACUAUCACUGGUAACUUUCAAAUCAUAAAGUUCGGUGGGUAUUAAUCACUCAAGUGUCGGAGUCUUAAGUGUUUUUUGGUUCUGUUCUGUAACUAUGCAGUUUCUUGAAAAAGUUGUACCCAAGCUCUCAAAACUGUCCCCUUUCUCAUUAUAAGCUACGGUUUGAUCCCAGGUAUAAUUUUAUGAUCCCAAGUAUAAUUUCAUUUUUCCAAGAUGAUUAUCAUUUUAUUUUAUAAAUUGUUUCAUAUGACAUUCAUUCAACUUUUGAAAUGUUAUGUCUUACUCGCUUUACUGCCGCCUUGAUGUAAAAUAAUUACCAACCCUUAGUUGCAAACUGAAGUUAUGUUUGAUUAUGAUUGUUAAAACUGUGACAUGCAACCUUUGCAUGAAUCUGAUAAAUUGGUAAUUGAAUUAAAAUAACUAGGAUGUGGACGCAUGAGCGGUUUACAAAAAAAUUUAGUUUAGUUAUCGCAGAAGGUUAGCUUAUAUAGAUAAACAAUGAAAAAAUGAAACCUGAAUAAGAAAGUUCUGGAGGUCUAAUUGUAUUCUUAAGAGAACUGAGAAUGGCAUUAGGAAGUAUGGUGGAAGAACAUUGUUUAAAAAAAGUUUUCCUCUUUUUUAGUAUUAUAUUUUUUUGUAUUGUUUUUUUGUUGGUGGGGAGUAAGGGAAGUGUCCUCCAAAGUAUAUUGGGAAACAAAUGGAAAAUCAGAACCUUGAAAUUUUCUUCUUUUUUUUUAAUUUUUUAUUCAAGACCGACUCUUUUGAUAGUUUUGACUAAUUUUGUGCGUUUGUAUGGUAUUUGAAUCUGAAUUGCAGCAAGACGAAGUGCAGAUUGUUAGCUACUCAUGAUGAUUAUAGCAUGAUGGAAAAACUACAGAAGGAGAGGACUUCGGUGUGGUGACAAUUGUCAGGAAUCCAGUUGACCGGGUUCUUGGUUCAUAUGAAUUUUCAGUUGAGGUAGCAGCUAGAUCUUUGGUACAUCCUGACCUAGCUUCUGCAACCAAAAUGUCCAAACAUGUGCGUGCAAAGACAAAUGGAAUGUCCGCACUGGAUGUUUGGCCGUGGAAGUAUUUGGUUCCAUGGAUGAGGGGAGACCAUAUUUAGUCGAGUACGUGUCCUGUUGGCUGAUCUUGUGCUUCUUAAUGAUUAUUUUCUUUUAACUCAAGCGGAGUGAAGAUAAAUAUAAUUAGAUCUUGUGCAUUUUAAUGAUCGUUUUGUACUUUCUUGUUUGGUCGGGGAGCUCUAUUUCUUUCUCGUUUGGUUUUCAUCGAUAGUUGAUUAAUAGGGAAACAACGGAGGUUGCCACUUCUCUGUCUUUAAUUGCAGAGUUCAGGUUUUUAGGCUUGGGAGAAGGGAUAUUGAUUUUGGAGUCUCGACUCCUUAGAGGGUUUCUCUUGUAAGUCUUUUGGCAUUUGCUGGAUCCCUCUCUCGUUUGUAAGUCUGGACAAGUUUUUCUCAGUUGUGUGAAUUGUAUGGACUGAUUUUUGAGGAAGUUAACCUUUGGGUAUCGGUUUUGAAGACCUUUUGUGGUUGCUCUUUAGGCAACAUUGUACACAGUUGGACCCCUUUUCUUUAAUGGGGGGUUUUGUGGGUUUGGUUUUUGAAUUAUUCCAUUUUUUCUCCCUAAAAGUAGUUUGUUUCUUUAAAUAUAAAGCUUUGGGGCUGUUUUAGUAUUGAAUCAGAUUUCGAUAAGUUAAGCAAGUUGUAUUCGUAGUUUGAAGCCAAACCCGUCUGGAACUUUGUUUUUUGGCUUGCUUUAAUGGAUGAUCUUUUCAUUUCACUUUUUUUCUGGAACAACUGAAGCUAUUUUUCAUUAGCUUGUCAAUAAUGGUUUUCAAGUGCUCAAACUAUAUAGGGAAAAUAGUUCCUGCCACAAACUAAUUUGGAGUUGUGCGUAGCUUUGGAUGGAGAUGUUAGAAUCUAACAAGUAAUUUUUGUUUUGGCUCUGUUAGCCUAUGUUUGUGAUCAGGUAAUCUUGACAAUUUCUCUCUUAUUUACUACAAUCUUAUAAAGAGAUUACUG